rnacentral:miRNA from 1 species
AUAAGCCAACACCAAUCCCACUUCUUCUGCAUAUAUAUAUAUAUAUAUAUAUAUAUAAAAGCAGAAGAAGUGGGAUUGGUGUUGGCUUUC